rnacentral:tRNA from 1 species
CAUUAAGAAGCUUUUACAGCGUCAGCCUUUUAAGUUGAAGAAGAAACCGUGUUUUCCUUAAUGA